CACAUGGUAGCGCAGGUUGCCUAGAGGCUUAAUGAAAAGGGAAGAGGCAUCUUAAAAUGCUGCAAAAAACCCGAAAUGAGAAUCUAAAGUUAUUGAGUUAGAAAUUAUUCCAGAGCCAGCAUGAUGCUGAUUUAAGCUGAAAAGCCUUGGAAACGUUCACUGAUUUUUCCGUAGAAAAAUAGGUGCUGGUACACACCAUGAAGUUGUUACAGUAAGUGUCACACUUUUUAACACAAAGGGGGGGGUGGUACUGUGUGCCCUUGAGUACCCCCCUAGAGAAAAGCACCCUGGAAACAUUCAUUUAUGAGGAUUUUUUUACAGCAAAUGCUUAUAAAAAUUAGGGUACUCCUGUACUUAGACAUGCAGAAUUAAUAAAGCAUUUAGUUUACGUUACUUACAACCUGAUAAAGAAGCAAAAGGGGGAAAUAUUUGUACAAAUAAAGUAAUAUUUGUACUUGGAAGUACAAAUGAAGAUCAAGUUAAUCACACUUAUUCUCAUUGAAAUCAAUGUGAAAAGUUAGUCAUGGCAUACUUAAGUCACCAUGAUUUCAGGUUUGACUCAGGCUGCAUACACAUCUUACAUUUUAAGUACAUUCUCCCCCAAAGGAUCCUUGGAAGUGUAGCUUCUGAAGGGUGCUAGGAUCUAUAGCUCUCUGAGGGAUCAAUGACAGCUCUUAGGAUUUGUUGUUGUUGUUGUUGUUGUUUAGAGGGGGUUGCUUUAAAUGUAUGGUGUGUAUGCAGCCUCAGAAAUGCAAUAUGAUGUAAUGUGCCUUAGCAUUCAGCUCUUAGCAUUUUGGUACGGCUGGCUGAGGCUCCAAAAUAUCAGGAAGGCUUCAAGUGUUCUGACCUUGGCAAGAACUCAUUGCAAUUCGAUACAUGCAGGAUGACAGGGAGACCCAAGGGUGGUCCGUGAGGACUAAGCUUGUAUGCACCCUUGAAUGUGCAAAGAAAAGAACAUUUCACGACAGGUCCUCUGCAUUGCAUGAUGGGGGUUUUGCAAAUAUUAUUUCAACACACUGUGGCGACAAUGCCUCAAUAUUGGCAAACCCUACAACUGCCAAAAUGCCACAAUGCCAGAAGUCUGAUGAAGGGUGUAAUCCCAGACUGGGACAAGCUGGGAGUCAACUCCAAUAGGUUGCAUUCAAUGGCCCUCUUCCAUGAAUGGCAGAAAUCCUUCCAUAGGUGAUACCUUUAACCUGGCAGAGGCCUCCAUUAAUGGAAAGUGGGGGAGGAAUUUCCUUCCAUGCCCCCUCAGCAGGAGCUUUCUCUCCCUCCGAUGCCACCCUCCGCUUUUCGAUCUGGGUGGGGCUGGUGUGGGGCGAGGAUAAUAAUAAUAAUAAUAAUAAUAAUAAUAAUAAUAUAUUUAUUAUUUAUACCCUGCCCAUCUGGUUGUGUUUCCCCAGUCACUCAGGGUGGCUCCCAAAAUAAUAAUAAUAAUAAUAAUAAUAAUAAUAUAAAACUGAAUUGGACAAUGGGGGUGGAGACACAUCCCCUCCUCUUCUGCUAGCAGACACAUCCAUUGGGUCCAACGCCCUUCCACAAAUGAAAGGACACAACUGGAUUGAGCUCAAUGGGACGUGCAACAUGCAAUCCUGUUUUAUCUCCACCUCUCUGAUGUUAAAGAGUGAAUUAAUUCCACUCAUCUUUUACUGCUAUUCCUCGCUGGUUCGAUAAGCCUACCUUCGGGAAAGCUGGAACUUCCAGCGCGACUCUUCUGUUUUUCCUGAUGAAGAAAUUAAAACUAAUUUGAAAAAUAUGGCAAACAACGCCACAGUGCUCCAUUUGCAUCUGGUAUACUUUUGCGUGUAAUUGCUUCACAGUUCUCCUCCCCCCUGCCCCCCACGCCAUAUUAAGUGAAAACAGAAUGUUUUUAGAAGAUGUGCAGUUGAAAGAAUAAACAUCCCCCAAAGAAAUGAGGUUAAUUUCUGUUUUAUCCUCAUUUUGUUUUGUUUCUUUUGGAAUAAAUAACAGCUCCCCCCUCCUUCCCCCCUUAAGAAAUGCACAAAGGCUUCACAACUAUUUUCCAGGUCACUUGGACCCUUUGAGCAAGAAGACCUUCUCUUGCACGCUUACACUGGGGUAUAUGGGACCAGCUUAUGCUUUCAUUACAUGUUACUCAACUCCCACAUCCCUACCAUUAGGCAGAAUGAGCCGCCUGCCUCAGGCAGCAGGUGCUGAGUGGGGCAUGUGUAUCAGACAGAACUGUGUAUGCCAGCACCCUGCAAGCUAGCCUGUUGCCCCCAUGGGCUGUGGAGGACACUAUCCCAUUCCCUGUAUUGGAAAAAGAUUCAACAGUCAAUCUGGUUGGCUUUUGUACAUGGAAUCUGGCAUAGAUGAAUCUGCCAAGUAUACCUGAAGGAGCGUCUCCACCCCCAUCGUUCAGCACUGAGGUCCAGUUCCAAAGGCCUUCUGGUGAUUCCCUUACUGCGAGAAGUGAGGUUGCAGGGAACCAUCAGAUGUCAAGGAAAUAAACAACUACCUGACUUCAGAAGACAUCUGAAGGCAGCCCUGUUUAGGGAAGUUUUUAAUGUUUGAUAUUUUAUUGUGUUUUUAAUAUUCCAUUGGGAGCCACCCAGAGUGCCUGGGGAAACCCAGCCAGAUGGGCAGGGUAUAAAUAAUUCAUUCUUCUUCUUCUUCUUCUUCUUCUUCUUCUUCUUCUUCUUCUUCUUCUUCUUACAAAUUUGUUUUCUCUCAGUUUUAUCAGUCUUCCAAUCCACGUUUCCAAUCAGUUCCUGAUUAUUUUCAUCUUUUAAAAAGUGCUCAUGAAAAUUCAUUGACAUGCAGAAUAGCAUUUCAGUGCAAAUCUCUCCUAGUAUACACAUUUUUGUCUGCAAUUUUGCCCAAUACAUAGAUUUUUGCAAGGCAACCUCCCCUAAAACAAUGUGUUUUUCUGUGUUUUCUGUGUUGUGUUCACUAACACGUGAAUUUUGAUGUACACUCUACCCUGGUAAAUGCAUCUUUGAUAGGCAGGAGAGCCACACCACAAAAUCUGGAGACAUGCGUAUUUUGAAUGAUGGCUGCUUCUGUUUGCAUGCUGUUCUGAAAAGUGCAAAAUUUGGAGGCUUGUCUUUAAAUGUGAACAGAAUCAAAUUUCUCCCCCAUCCUUUAGAGGGAGCAAUAACAUGGCUGCAAACGCAGCUUGGAGGUUGUCAAUAAGCUCUUGUUAUGAAAGACUAUAAACUCUUAUGCAUGAAGGGGUGGAUACAAAAGGGAGGAGAGGGUUGUCCACCUGUAGGUAUGCUCCCAAGGGCCCCCCAAAACCUGGAAACAGCCACCACACACUUAAGGCUGAGGGAGACUGCUUUUAAACUAUUUCCUCUUCCUUUGGCUCAGUGCAUUUUUAAUAUGGGUCACCUGGCCUCUCUAAUUAGCUGGUGAUUUAUUUUCCAGCAACUCCAACAGAUUAUGUCAAGGUGUGCAAGGUUGGUGGCUCCCUAAAAGGUUGUCCUUGUCGCAGAUGGAGCAUGUUAUGCGGAAUGAAACCAGAUCACAAUAGACUUAUUUAUUUUAUUAGAAACAGCAUGCACCCAAAAAUGAGGCUAGGAGUGGAAUAGUAGCUGUAUAGCAGCCCAAGGAGAGUUAUGUGCUCAUAGAACAAUAGAAAAUGAGACAAUGGAAGAAAAGUAUUCCAAGCCUUCUGAAAUCUUGGUUUUAAUGGAGCCAUGUCAAACCUCCUAGGGAAACACGAAUGACUGCUAGACUUUGCUUAGAGAUUAUUGUGAUUCAGCAGUGUACAAAUUUUUGAAAUAAGUAAACAAAGCGCAUGCUAUUAGCACCAGGAUUCCUGCUUAUGCGACGGAAUUUCCUCCUCCUCUCCUUACUUACAUAUGUCCUCCAUCCUCCUCCAAUCUCCUCCAGAAGGUUGCAGGGAAACCCAGAACACAUUUAGAGGGCAUGUGUUGGGAGGAGAGGGAGAGGAAGUUGUAUUGCAGAAGCAGAAAUCCCUCUGCGGAUGGAACCAGUUAGUUGGAUACCUCCCCAUGGUUCUAUUAAUGCAGCCUAUAAUUACAUUAGCAUUUUUUUGCAGCUACAUGACACUUCUGGCUCAUGCUCAGCUUGUGAUCAACUGCAACCCUCUUUUUCCCAUUCUUCUAAACUGUUUAAAUAGGCCUUCUAAUAGGCCACCCCUAACCAAUUAUUCAAAAUGCAAGUUCCGAUUAUUUUCAUGGAACCAAAGUGCAAAUGUUCUUCCUGUUAGGACAAACCUAUCUGGUUUUUAAAAGUUUUUUUCUGGUGUGAUUACCUUCUUUGGCACCUUUUCAGCCUUUACAGCUCUCCGUCCUCAAUUUGAUCACAUUUGUUAACAGGUUUCCUGAAUUAUUGGACCCAGGACAGAGCAGACUACUGACAAAGAGUUCUCACUGCAUCCUGAAAAUUCUUAGGCAAACCACUGAUAUGUCUCGGAGGAACAAAAAGAGAAAAGAGUGGAAGGAACGGGCCUCCCUUCAAAGUGAAACAUAUGUGAGUGGGCCUUUGGAACUCUCUGCCUUGUCCCCAGUAAACAAAACCUACUUUUGACAGGCCCCACAUGGCUUUUAUCCAUUGACCUGCACACAUAAGGGGUUGAAGAUGGUAUGCUGGUAGUGGUAGGUGCUCCUCUGACCUCACAACAGCUGAAUCCCCACUGCUUUCUGGGAAGAAGAGGCAGAGGGGAAUGUGGGGAGGUCAGUGAAUUUCAAAUGCACCAGCAGGACUGCUGAAUUGGCUUUGCUGGUGUAUUUGCACCUUGCCAACUUCUCUGCUAUCUGCUACCUUGGCCCUCCCCCUUUCCUCCUAGUAAGUAAGCAACUCAGCUAUCAGGGCAUCAGGUGAGCACUGCGGCCCACCACACAUUCUGCUGCUGUGCUCAUAAAUCCCUUUCAAACCUCUGCCACAUAUACCGUUACCCGAGGAAUGGCCGCUGAGAGUGGUGGUGUGACGGUGUGUGUCUGUGAUAAGUGAAACUAUAGGCAUGGUUGGCUUCAUCUACCUAGUUUAUCCAAUGAAAACCCUGAUAUUGAUUGAUUGAUUGAUUGAUUGAUUGAUUGAUUGAUAAAGUGCAAAUGGCACUUUAUUUUCCCUCAAAGUGUAGCUUGUGUAGCAAAUGCCACCCUACCAGAAAUUAUAAUGUGUGUGUGUGUGUGUGUGUGUGUGUGUGUUUAAAUACAUCUGGCGGCCAUUUGUAGUGAGCAUAAUAAAGACUUGUUCCAAUUAGGCAUGUGAAUUUCCUCUUUGAAGAGUAAAAAAAAUAGGUGUUACUUCAUGCUCAUAUAAAUUCUGACUUUACGCCUGCAUAAAAUCAGUAGUAAAAAGAGGCUAAAUCCUAGACAUCUCCUACGCGCUGAUACUUGUAGAGGCAUAUCACAUACUUCAGAGAUGUUUCUAUUCUGAAGUAUACAUUAGACAGACAUUGCUUUAUGGGGAAAGAAAAAUGGUGUUAGACUAUGUUAUAAGGUCACAGCAUAUUUUUUUGUGAUGUUAUCCAAUCACACAGGAACUGGUUUCCAAAGAGCAAGACAGAGAAUAUGUAUUGUUGCAUGCCACUCCCAAACUCUGAGCAGUGUGAGAUUCCAGGGGUUCCAGGCACUUAUCCAGUGUUCUUGUUCCCUUUUGGAAUUAGACACAGUGGAGAUUGCAAUGUCUUUAUGAUAUAUGGUUUAUUUGCACAUAUAUACAACCUGAGCAUAUGAGGGAGGGGUUCACACUGACAUCCCAAGUAGGCAUUCUGUUCCUACAGUGGCCAACUUGAGGUCCACAAGACGUAGGACGCAGGUGGCGCUGUGGUCUAAACCACUGAGCCUCUUGGGCUUGCCAAUUGGAAGGUUGCCAGUUUGAAUCCCCAUGACAGGGUGAGCUCCCGUUGAUCUGUUUUCAAAGCCUCAAUAUAUACAGGUGACAAUCCAAAGUAUUAGCUCUUUUCCUUCUGCUUGUUUUUAAUCUGACAUAAAGAUCUUGGCCUUCCACCAACCAGCCAGGAUGAUCACAUUGUGAGGUUCUCUUUGCGUUUAAGCAAAUGCGCAAUCAGUUAAACACUCAUUUCUUUGUUUUGCCUUUAUAGAGCCCUGAUAAUAUCAGAUGUUCAAAAGGGGAAGCAGAGAAAGGUUAUUCUUGAGAAACUCUCGUGAAGAAGAUUGGCAUAGGGUGAAGCGUAUUAUGAGAGAGACCUCACUCCAAAAGGAAACAUCUGGCAUCCAUCAGCCAGAGUUAUCAUGCUAGAAGGUUUCUGAUGCAGGCACACUUUUGAACGUUAGUGGGAAUUUUAGCACUAAGAGAUG